rnacentral:precursor_RNA from 10 species
AUACAUAAAGUUAUUAUAGAGAUAGUGGUUCUUGCUCUUACUGUGACAUCCCUUGCCAAGGGAUAUCCAGACAGGGCAAAAACUGCUCUGCUCUUUUUUCAUCUGAAGCUUA